rnacentral:rRNA from 1 species
GGCUAAUACCGCAUAAUCCCUGAGGGGGAAAGCGGGGGAUCUAAGGACCUCGCGUUAUUUGAGCGGCCGAUGUUGGAUUAGCUAGUUGGUGGGGUAAAGGCCUACCAAGGCGACGAUCCAUAGCGGGUCUGAGAGGAUGAUCCGCCACAUUGGGACUGAGACACGGCCCAAACUCCUACGGGAGGCAGCAGUGGGGAAUUUUGGACAAUGGGGGGAACCCUGAUCCAGCCAUGCCGCGUGUCUGAAGAAGGCCUUCGGGUUGUAAAGGACUUUUGUUAGGGAAGAAAAGCUAGGUGCUAAUACCACCGAGUGCUGACGGUACCUAAAGAAUAAGCACCGGCUAACUACGUGCCAGCAGCCGCGGUAAUACGUAGGGUGCGAGCGUUAAUCGGAAUUACUGGGCGUAAAGCGAGCGCAGACGGUUAAAUAAGUCAGAUGUGAAAUCCCCGAGCUCAACUUGGGACGUGCAUUUGAAACUGUGUAACUAGAGUGUGUCAGAGGGAGGUAGAAUUCCACGUGUAGCAGUGAAAUGCGUAGAGAUGUGGAGGAAUACCGAUGGCGAAGGCAGCCUCCUGGGAUAACACUGACGUUCAUGCUCGAAAGCGUGGGUAGCAAACAGGAUUAGAUACCCUGGUAGUCCACGCCCUAAACGAUGACAAUUAGCUGUUGGGGCACUAGAUGCUUUAGUAGCGAAGCUAACGCGUGAAAUUGUCCGCCUGGGGAGUACGGUCGCAAGAUUAAAACUCAAAGGAAUUGACGGGGACCCGCACAAGCGGUGGAUGAUGUGGAUUAAUUCGAUGCAACGCGAAGAACCUUACCUGGUCUUGACAUGUACGGAAUCUCUUAGAGAUAGGAGAGUGCCUUCGGGAACCGUAACACAGGUGCUGCAUGGCUGUCGUCAGCUCGUGUCGUGAGAUGUUGGGUUAAGUCCCGCAACGAGCGCAACCCUUGUCAUUAGUUGCCAUCAUUAAGUUGGGCACUCUAAUGAGACUGCCGGUGAUAUACCGGAGGAAGGUGGGGAUGACGUCAAGUCCUCAUGGCCCUUAUGACCAGGGCUUCACACGUCAUACAAUGGUCGGUACAGAGGGUAGCGAAGCCGCGAGGUGAAGCCAAUCUCAGAAAGCCGAUCGUAGUCCGGAUUGCACUCUGCAACUCGAGUGCAUGAAGUCGGAAUCGCUAGUAAUCGCAGGUCAGCAUACUGCGGUGAAUACGUUCCCGGGUCUUGUACAC